GACGAACGCUGGCGGCGUGCCUAAUACAUGCAAGUAGAACGCUGAAGGAGGAGCUUGCUUCUCUGGAUGAGUUGCGAACGGGUGAGUAACGCGUAGGUAACCUGCCUGGUAGCGGGGGAUAACUAUUGGAAACGAUAGCUAAUACCGCAUAAGAGUAGAUGUUGCAUGACAUUUGCUUAAAAGGUGCAAUUGCAUCACUACCAGAUGGACCUGCGUUGUAUUAGCUAGUUGGUGGGGUAACGGCUCACCAAGGCGACGAUCCAUAGCCGACCUGAGAGGGGGAUCGGCCACACUGGGACUGAGACACGGCCCAGACUCCUACGGGAGGCAGCAGUAGGGAAUCUUCGGCAAUGGACGGAAGUCUGACCGAGCAACGCCGCGUGAGUGAAGAAGGUUUUCGGAUCGUAAAGCUCUGUUGUAAGAGAAGAACGAGUGUGAGAGUGGAAAGUUCACACUGUGACGGUAUCUUACCAGAAAGGGACGGCUAACUACGUG
rnacentral:rRNA from 1 species